UCUGAAUCUGCGAACGGCUCCGCACACCAGUUGUAAACCAAAGCAAGCAAGCCCGGUUUCGACGCCUUUCGGGGCUAGAAGCCGGGCUACAAGGAUAACCCUGGUAAUUCUGAGGCUAAUACUUGACACAGAACCUGCCGACUGGGCUUCGGUUCGGGAAGCGGGGGAUGUGCGACUAUCGGGCCAACAAAACCGGAAAGAGCGCACGUUCAGACCACUUAAAAAGGCUUCGGGUCCCUCGGGAUCCGGGGUUGUGGCUCUUGCAGCGUGCUUCUGACCUAUCAACUAGACGGCAGCCUAAGGGACAUGCUUUGGUGACAAC
rnacentral:rRNA from 1 species